UGCUUCAAGAAUAUUUCUGGUGAUCUUUUUGAUAGCCAAACUCGCACCAUUGCAUAAUCGAGGUGGAUUCAAAUUACGCAGGAGAAAAAUAGGUGAACCAUUCUUUAAUGCGAUGAUUGAGUGCGAUCAGGAAAUGGUAAUACGGUGUGUCGAUGCAGGAUAUGGAGGAUCUAACCACGACUCAUUUGUGUGAAAAAAUAGCUCAUUAAAAACAUAUCUGAAGCAAACAUACCAAAUAGAAGGGAUCAUAAUUCGGUUUACUUAGGUGAUUCUGGUUAUCCACUACGUGAGUAUCUAUGGACGACUUUCCGAAACACUUUAGCAGGAACAGCGGAUUCAAAUUUUAAUAAAAAACAUGCAAAGGCAAGGACCUUAGUUGAAAG
rnacentral:lncRNA from 1 species